rnacentral:rRNA from 1 species
UACGUAGGGAGCAAGCGUUGUCCGGAUUUAUUGGGCGUAAAGAGCUCGUAGGUGGCUUGGCAAGUCAGGUGUGAAAACUCCAGGCUCAACCUGGAGACGCCAUUUGAUACUGCCAUGGGCUUGAGUUCGGUAGGGGACCACGGAAUUCCCGGUGUAGUGGUGAAAUGCGUAGAUAUCGGGAGGAACACCGAUGGCGAAGGCAGGUCUCUGGGGCAUUAACUGACGCUGGGGAGCGAAGAAUGGGGGAGCGAACAGG